GGUGUAUCUGGAGAAAGACCCAAAAAUACUCCAAAAGCACGGAUGGGUGACCAUGCUGUUUUAAUGGAACCAUCAACAGAACAAGCAUGGGUUACAGAAGAUAGAGACAUUUCAUUGGUUGAUUCCAAGACUCCAGAUUCUGUUAUGUCCAUGAAACACCUUAUUGCAGCUGCUCAAGCUAAAAGGAAAGAAGCUCACUCACAAGCUCACUCGCAACAUUUCUCUCUUGGAAACCCUAAUUCUUUUAUGUCCAUCAAUGAUCCUCAGGGAAGAAGUCCCAGUCCCUCAUCACUCCAACCAUUUUUAUCUGGCUCCAGCACUGUGUUACAGAAUGAUCUACAGAGCUUUCAACAUCGCACAAAUGUACUUUCUCCAUCAACUCAUGGUCAUCAAUCAGC
rnacentral:misc_RNA from 1 species